CCUACGGGAGGCAGCAGCAAGGAAUAUUGUGCAAUGGGCGAAAGCCUGACACAGCGACGCCGCGUGAGGGAUGAAGGCUUUCGGGUUGUAAACCUCUUUUCUUAGGGAAGAAUAAUGACGGUACCUGAGGAAUAAGUCUCGGCUAACUACGUGCCAGCAGCCGCGGUAAU
rnacentral:rRNA from 1 species